UGUUUUCGGGAUCCGAAUACGAUUCACAGUGCGCCUGCAGGCCGUCCCUAAUUUUCCCUGAAUUUUUCCCGGGGAACUGAAACACACUAACAGUACCGGCGGCGGCGCUCUCGGGUACGGCGGCUCUCCGGCGAGGUUCGUGUUUUGGUGAUUCGGCUUCGGUCAACCUCGAUCGGCGGUCGGAAAUUUCCCCGGUGCGGCGGCGGGUGGCGGCGGUCGGCCUCUGGUUCGUCUUCUCC
rnacentral:lncRNA from 1 species